AUUGCAACUUUGGGCCCAAAGGUUUGAAUAAUUAAAUUCAAACCUAUAGUUUUUUUUUUAUAAUUUUGGGACUCACAAUCCCAUUUUUAUAUUAUUUUUCUCUCUUCCUCUCACGUUGCUCGGCGUUUUCUCGCAAGGGGGGAUUAUUUUCUUUUUUCUUCAGAUUAUAUUGACAAAGAUAGUGGUGAAAAAGGAGUUGUGAAGGGGAACUUGUUAUUCAAGACACAAGGAGCGAAUCCGGCCGAGAAAGCACCAGAGGUGUAAUUAUGGUGUAUGAGACACCAUCUUUUACGUUGCCUCUUAUUUUGAAUUAUACAAUGUAUCUUGUGCCAACUUAGGACAUAUCUUGUCUAUGGAGCAUGUAAACUCUAAUCCUUUUUAUUAAAUGCAUUUAUA